rnacentral:rRNA from 1 species
GGCGAACGCUGGCGGCGUGCUUAACACAUGCAAGUCGAACGGAAAGGCCCUGCUUUUGUGGGGUGCUCGAGUGGCGAACGGGUGAGUAACACGUGAGUAACCUGCCCUUGACUUUGGGAUAACUUCAGGAAACUGGGGCUAAUACCGGAUAGGAGCUCCUGCUGCAUGGUGGGGGUUGGAAAGUUUCGGCGGUUGGGGAUGGACUCGCGGCUUAUCAGCUUGUUGGUGGGGUAGUGGCUUACCAAGGCUUUGACGGGUAGCCGGCCUGAGAGGGUGACCGGCCACAUUGGGACUGAGAUACUGCCCAGACUCCUACGGGAGGCAGCAGUGGGGAAUAUUGCACAAUGGGCGGAAGCCUGAUGCAGCAACGCCGCGUGCGGGAUGACGGCCUUCGGGUUGUAAACCGCUUUCGCCUGUGACGAAGCGUGAGUGACGGUAAUGGGUAAAGAAGCACCGGCUAACUACGUGCCAGCCGCCGCGGUAA